rnacentral:rRNA from 2 species
UACGUAGGAUGCGAGCGUUGUCCGGAAUUAUUGGGCGUAAAGCGAACGUAGGCGGUUUCUUAAGAUUGGUCUUAAAGACCGGGGCUCAACCCCGGGAAUGGAUCGAUAACUGGGAGACUGGAGGACGUCAGAGGAAAGUGGAAUUCCGAGUGUAGCGGUGAAAUGCGUAGAUAUUCGGAGGAACACCAGUGGCGAAAGCGACUUUCUGGGACGUUCCUGACGCUGAGGUUCGAAAGCUCGGGGAGCAAACAGG